GUCCAAGUCUUAUUGAAAAUGGAGUUCUUUCAAAAGAUGACUGGACAAAUUAAAAGCCACCAAAAGUUCUUGUCGUCUGAACAGAACAUCGAUACAUGAGCUUCUACAGCAAGCUAGAGAGGAAGUGCUUAAAAAGGAGAGUAGACUACUUGACUUCGAUGACGCAAAAUGUGACUGACUAUCUCAGCUUAACCUGACUCACACUCACAAGGGAGCAGUUUGAUGACGUCCUCAUUCAUGUGAACAACAUAAAAUCCACAAAGACGAGGUUAAUGUGUGUGUGUGUGUGUGUAAAACACAAGGAAAUUCACUAUAUUUAAGCUCCACCUCCGCCCCGGUCCGUCACGACUUCUGGAACUCAAUCUCCUAGCAGAAGCAGAGCUUGUCCCGAAAAUUUGACACUAUCACUUGUUCGUGUUGUUAGCCAUUUAUAGCCUUCAAAAUUGAUCAAAAUCCGCCAGCUUGCGUUAAGCUGCUUCAAGUCAUUGCUGUCACGGCAUCACACAUCACCACAAAACACCAUUUUAUCGCCGACUCCGUAUUUUGAUUACAAAGGGACAGAUUUUGACGUUUAGCACCGCAAGCAGCAUGUGCAUCUCUACUGAUUCAUAUCGGGGUAUGGAAAACAUAAAUUUCCAUGGAGGCUUGCGUAAAUCGAUUGGUUUAGAAAAGGAACAAGGAACUCUACUUUGCAUCGAGAAUUUUCCAAGAUGAUUCACUCUUUACCAAAUAUGUGUAACUCAGUGUAUACAUGAGUCAGCCUUAUUUUAAGCAGCAUUCAGGGUGUUGCUAAAACGCGAAACUGAAAACGGAACGGAAAAUCUUAAGCAAUGUUAUUUACUUUAUAUAUGUGUUGAGCAUGCUAAAAACAAUAAACUUUAUCAGAGACAUAAAUAACUAUUUAUAAAUAUAUCUGUAUUUUUUAAAUAUUGCUAAGAAAAUGAACAAUCUAAUUUCAUUUAUUUAUAAAAUGUAUGAUUUCCUCAAAAUUAACAGUACAUGC
rnacentral:sRNA from 1 species